CUCUCACGUAAGUAUAUCUACACUCUGGGUAUUCACUCCUUCUACUAUCUUCCUACUCACUCUGCAGGAGAUCUUGUUCGAACCAGAUUUAUUUAUUUAUGUCUCUGUUAUUGGUUAUGGUCAUUCUGUUAUGAAUUUUACAACUUUUCAGUGGAAUUUAUGUUGGGUCUAUUUUCAUUACUGCACACAGUUGCCAGAUCGGUACC